rnacentral:siRNA from 1 species
GGCCUGGGCACGAAGCGAAUAUCC